CCUACGGGAGGCAGCAGUGAGGAAUAUUGGACAAUGGGCGCAAGCCUGAUCCAGCCAUGCCGCGUGCAGGAAGACGGUCCUAUGGAUUGUAAACUGCUUUUGUACGGGAAGAAACACUCCUACGUGUAGGAGCUUGACGGUACCGUAAGAAUAAGGAUCGGCUAACUCCGUGCCAGCAGCCGCGGUAAUACGGAGGAUCCAAGCGUUAUCCGGAAUCAUUGGGUUUAAAGGGUCCGUAGGCGGUUUAGUAAGUCAGUGGUGAAAGCCCAUCGCUCAACGAUGGAACGGCCAUUGAUACUGCUAGACUUGAAUUACUAGGAAGUAACUAGAAUAUGUAGUGUAGCGGUGAAAUGCUUAGAUAUUACAUGGAAUACCAAUUGCGAAGGCAGGUUACUACUAGUGGAUUGACGCUGAUGGACGAAAGCGUGGGGAGCGAACAGGAUUAGAUACCCUGGUAGUCCACGCCGUAAACGAUGGAUACUAGCUGUUCGGGGCAACCUGAGUGGCUAAGCGAAAGUGAUAAGUAUCCACCUGGGGAGUACGUUCGCAAGAAUGAAACUCAAAUGAAUUGACGG
rnacentral:rRNA from 1 species